GGAGGGAGAGGAAGUGCGCCCAACGCCAUAGGGAGGUCAAGAGAGUCAAGGAUAGAAACAAAUGUGUCCAUUAGAUUAGCAACCAAGAAGGACUUAGAGCGCUCAGCGCAAGGAAUUUCUGUGAAGUGGGAGAGACAGACUGCAGAUGUUGGGAUUGUGCAAAAAGAAGAUAUUUGUCUGGAGUUUAUACUUAAAAAUAACUGUUGUUAAGCCAAAGAAUGUGGGGGUACUUCUUCUACACAGAUCCUCCUUCUGAAGAUGUUGGUCUUCUUCCUUGCCUGCCACCCCCUCCCACACUUGAUUCAAAUGGAAGGUUGACUUUCUUGGAUGGCAAGGAUUAUGUUCACUCUCCCCUUCUGGAACUGUUCUCUGUGGAUAUGUCCCGUGAUCGUCAGAUCAACAUUCUGAGCUUGUGCUUAGAAACCAUCUUUGGAGGGUGUCAAUGCAUCUUACAUAAUCACGAGUUGUAAGCAACAACAACAUUCUCUGCAUAACAUUUAGAGAAAAUCACUCUCAAUAUAAUCAUUGUUUUAAUCUUUAGAAAAGGUGAAGGAAUUUUUAUUAUAGUAGCUAAAGAAAUAGGAUCCAUCAACUAUUCCAUAGCUCAAGGCAGCAUUCACAGGAUUGUUGGGUAAAGGGACUAUUGUGUUGCCUUUAAGUGAAAAUUGGUGUCACUAUGAUUUAUGAUGUUGCUCUUCUCCUAAUUCCAUCCAUGCCCACCCAUGCCCAUCACCACUGCCACCUACAUAUUCAUGUCAUUAUAGAAUUAGAAGAGGACAGUGACUUCAGAUCCCCAUAAAUCUGAACUGGGGUCAGGGAAGUCCAAGAAUGUAAUGAUAAGUGCAAGGAUUUAUUCUCUUGGGAGUAGGCUUAUGGAGAAAGUGUCAUUUGUCCCAGGCUAUUAAAAGAACAGUGUCUCAUCAGAAGCACUGAAGCCAUUAAAGACCCAAAAGUGGUCCAGAUAAGAUUCCUAAGUCCUUACCAUGGUUAAUCAGGAAUAGAAUACAAUAGAUUACUACUCAGCACUAAAAUGGAAUGAACUAUUGAUACUCGCUUCAGCAUUGAUGGAUCUCAAAAUGAUUAUGCUCAAUGAAAGAAGCCAGAUGAGAGUACAAACUGUAUGAUUCCAUUUAUACAAAUUUCCAGAAAAUGCAAAGUAAUCAAUUGUGACAGAAAGCAGAUCAGUGGUUGUCUGGGGUAGGGAGGGAAUUCAAGUGGGGGCAGGAAGGAGGAAUUACAAUGGAGCACAAAGAAACUUUCGGGCUGAAUCAUGCGAACAUGAUGUUAAUUGUGGUGAUGGUUUCACAGGUAUUCUCAUACCUCGAAAUGUAUCAAAUUGAACACUUUAAAUAUGUGCACUGUACUGUAUGGUACCUCAGUAAAACUGUUUUUAAAACUCAGAAAUAGAAAAAAUAGACAACAGGGGAUAAGGGAAUUGACCUGGAGAGAAAAAUAAGUAAGUGAUGGACUGUUUCUCCUAGUGCAGCCCAGACACUUAUUUGUAUGCACUCCCUUCCAGUUUCAGCCUACGGCUUCAAAAAUAAGUUCUUGUCCUGCUGCUUGACUCUGUAUCUCUAGAAAAGAACUAUACCUAAACUACAACAAGUUGUUUCUAUUAUAAUCCUUCUUGCUAACCUAUUCCAACAUCUAAGGAAAUUGUCUCGCAAGUUUUUGGAUACAUCACCAUCACCUACACAUCAUCCACACAUUAAUAAUAUCUUCUUUCUGGAGACUUAAUGCUCUUCAUUGGUGGGAGAGAUUUUCUAAUUCUCAGUCCUCAAAUAAUACACAUAAUUAUGGGAAAACAAUGAACACCUGGACAAUUGACUUGGUUUCUCCAAAGUAUUUGUGACAGAAAAGAAAAAGCUAAAGACAGAUGGCAGAUAUGUAAUGCAAUGAGAAGACUUUGAUGAGACUCUUGGUCAAUCAAAUCAACUGUAAAUGGACUUCUUUGGAACAACUGGGGACAUUUAGAUACAGAAUUACAGAUCAAUCAUUUCCUGGAUUAAAAGGACUUCAUUUUAUAUGAAGAUAUAUGAAUAUAAAAUGACAAUAAAUGCCAUGUACAUGUAAACCAUACCAUUCUUCCAAUGGAUGAUUUGGUCCCAGAAUGUUGGCAAAGCUUUGAAUUUCAUCUUCCUCUCCUGAAGCAGAACCUUGGCAACCCCACUUCAGAAUAGAUGCUUUGUUCAUCCUCUCUAGUUUCCUCCCUUCUGUUUGGAAUAUGAAACAUUCUUUUUUGGUUUCUGACACUACAAAGGAGGAUAAGAUCCACAAGACAAGAAUAUAUAGAUCCCGUGAUUAAAUGCUGGAGUAGGCCUGUCCUUUAUGUACAAAACUUUGACCAGGCUGCAGUCACUGAAGGAUGCAUCACUGUAUAAAAUGCUUCUCAAAGUCCAGAAGAAUUUCAGCAGGACCAAGGAUGGCCUAUGAUCCCCAGCAGGUGUUUCAUUCUUUCGAAGGG
rnacentral:lncRNA from 1 species